rnacentral:rRNA from 1 species
GACGAACGCUGGCGGCGUGCUUAACACAUGCAAGUCGAACGGAAAGGCCCUGCUUUUGUGGGGUGCUCGAGUGGCGAACGGGUGAGUAACACGUGAGUAACCUGCCCUUGACUUUGGGAUAACUUCAGGAAACUGGGGCUAAUACCGGAUAGGAGCUCCUGCUGCAUGGUGGGGGUUGGAAAGUUUCGGCGGUUGGGGAUGGACUCGCGGCUUAUCAGCUUGUUGGUGGGGUAGUGGCUUACCAAGGCUUUGACGGGUAGCCGGCCUGAGAGGGUGACCGGCGACAUUGGGACUGAGAGACGGCCCAGAGGCCUACGGGAGGCAGCAGUGGGGAAUAUUGCACAAUGGGCGGAAGCCUGAUGAAGAAACGCCGCGUGCGGGAUGACGGCCUUCGGGUUGUAAACCGCUUUAGCCUGUGACGAAGCGUGAGUGACGGUAAUGGGUAAAGAAGCACCGGCUAACUACGUG